GCCUGAGUGGCUUAGUCGGUUGAGCAUCUGACUUCGGCUCAGGCCGUGAUCUCAUAGUUGGUGAGUUCAAGACCCGCGUCGGGCU
rfam:Felis catus isolate Cinnamon breed Abyssinian chromosome A1, whole genome shotgun sequence.